GAGGGGGUGGCUACUGGGGCUCAACCCCCGAAUGUUUUGUCAAAAGCCCUGAAUCUUUUCAGAUCUGUAAAAAUGAAUUCAUCCAGGGCGCUAGGUGGCGCAUUCAGCUUUAAACUCUCCGGUCACACACUCCAGUGAAAACAUAUAAGAGAUUGAAGUUGAAGGCAAGUUAAUAUGCUGAAUCUCCCCACAGCAAACCAUUUUUUUUAAGCGUUUAUCAUUACAGUGCCUUUGUUAUUACUGUAAAAGUGUAUAUUUAUAGUUAUGUGAUGUAAAUACUGUUAAACAGCAUCAACUGAUAUAUUAUCUGCAUGGCUAACGGCUAAUGUUAGCUCUCUGAUGGCUGCCUCUUCUGCUGCACACUGUCGCUGAUGGAUAUAUGAUUUAUUUUUGUAAAGACGUCAGAAGUAAAAAGUGCAAAUAGGGAGAGAGGAAGAUGGAGAGAGAUCAGAUCACAGCUAGAGAGAAAACGCUGCAAUAAGCAGGUAAGAAAUUGUUCUGUCAGUGAAGUCAAAAUUGUUAUUCUUUCUUAUGUAGCUUUAUAAUUACUGGAUUACCCUACAGCAAACAUAUUUUGCCUAUUUUUGGAUAAGAGAAGUUAAAGUAUCGCUGUCAAAAUUUGUUAUGUUACAGUUUCAAAAUGAUAAUACAGGAACACUUCAAUUAAAAAAUAGUUUGUAAAGCUGCC